GGGGAUGUAUCGGUUUCGACGGGGGUUUUGAAGUACGGGUAGCGAGUAGUUUUGAGCAUAACUUAAAAAGCUUAAAUUUUUAAAUAUAAAAGCUAAUAACGAAUUAGUUGCUGCCUAAUUAAGGCAGUCGUCUUACCUGUGAGUACCACGGCACAGGAUAGGGCGUCAAUUAGUGGUGAACGUGAGUAUGCAAUGCUUUGAGCAUACCAUGAAUAAUUAAGCAACCGAACUGUAUAUGUUUUCUUGUGGACUGUGCAGUAAGGAUCUGACCACAAGAUACACUCGUAGAAGCCUUUAUGAAUGAACUUUCGGACAGGAGUUCGACUCUCCUCAUCUCCACCA
rnacentral:tmRNA from 1 species